rnacentral:rRNA from 1 species
GACGAACGCUGGCGGCGUGCCUAAUACAUGCAAGUAGAACGCUGAAGGAGGAGCUUGCUCUUCUUGGAUGAGUUGCGAACGGGUGAGUAACGCGUAGGUAACCUGCCUGGUAGCGGGGGAUAACUAUUGGAAACGAUAGCUAAUACCGCAUAAGAGUAGAUGUUGCAUGACAUUUGCUUAAAAGGUGCAAUUGCAUCACUACCAGAUGGACCUGCGUUGUAUUAGCUAGUUGGUGAGGUAACGGCUCACCAAGGCGACGAUACAUAGCCGACCUGAGAGGGUGAUCGGCCACACUGGGACUGAGACACGGCCCAGACUCCUACGGGAGGCAGCAGUAGGGAAUCUUCGGCAAUGGACGGAAGUCUGACCGAGCAACGCCGCGUGAGUGAAGAAGGUUUUCGGAUCGUAAAGCUCUGUUGUAAGAGAAGAACGAGUGUGAGAGUGGAAGGUUCACACUGUGACGGUAUCUUACCAGAAAGGGACGGCUAACUACGUGCCGGCAGCCGCGGUAAUACGUAGGUCCCGAGCGUUGUCCGGAUUUAUUGGGCGUAAAGCGAGCGCAGGCGGUUAGAUAAGUCUGAAGUUAAAGGCUGUGGCUUAACCAUAGUACGCUUUGGAAACUGUUUAACUUGAGUGCAAGAGGGGAGAGUGGAAUUCCAUGUGUAGCGGUGAAAUGCGUAGAUAUAUGGAGGAACACCGGUGGCGAAAGCGGCUCUCUGGCUUGUAACUGACGCUGAGGCUCGAAAGCGUGGGGAGCAACCAGGAUUAGAUACCCUGGUAGUCCACGCCGUAAACGAUGAGUGCUAGGUGUUAGACCCUUUCCGGGGUUUAGUGCCGCAGCUAACGCAUUAAGCACUCCGCCUGGGGAGUACGACCGCAAGGUUGAAACUCAAAGGAAUUGACGGGGGCCCGCACAAGCGGUGGAGCAUGUGGUUUAAUUCGAAGCAACGCGAAGAACCUUACCAGGUCUUGACAUCCCUCUGACCGCUCUAGAGAUAGAGUUUUCCUUCGGGACAGAGGUGACAGGUGGUGCAUGGUUGUCGUCAGCUCGUGUCGUGAGAUGUUGGGUUAAGUCCCGCAACGAGCGCAACCCCUAUUGUUAGUUGCCAUCAUUCAGUUGGGCACUCUAGCGAGACUGCCGGUAAUAAACCGGAGGAAGGUGGGGAUGACGUCAAAUCAUCAUGCCCCUUAUGACCUGGGCUACACACGUGCUACAAUGGCUGGUACAACGAGUCGCAAGCCGGUGACGGCAAGCUAAUCUCUUAAAGCCAGUCUCAGUUCGGAUUGUAGGCUGCAACUCGCCUACAUGAAGUCGGAAUCGCUAGUAAUCGCGGAUCAGCACGCCGCGGUGAAUACGUUCCCGGGCCU